UUUCAAGAAAGAAAUACAUGCAAUUCUGUUCUGGAAUCUGGUUUCGAGAAAGAAAUACAUGAGUUCGACUGGCGACGUAACACGAUGCCGAAAUUACCUCUUUGGAAUUUGGAUGAGCUAGGCGAAUAGCCAAAUCCUCGCUUCGAGAUAACAUGGAAAGCUGCGGUGCUAGUGUGGCACACCGAAACCUCGCUGGCCACUCGCUUUGCGCGGGCAAGGUGAGUUGUUUGGUAGCUCCUUGCCUCGCUACUUUGCUCGGCAAGCUUGCUCGGCUAGGCAGGGAAAUCCUUGCCGAUGCAAGAGAGUCCAAUCGGCUCUCCUAGGUGGCAAGGUUGGCUGCCACUCGGGAGCUCAUUGGGAUGCUCGAGUCAGCAUCGAAUCGACCUCUCACAGCCGCAGCGAUGCCAAAAUCGAGGUCAAUGGCCACCAAAUCGAGCUGCUCUGUUGCUGAAUCAACCUCCGUCGCCGCUGAAUCAACAUCCGCCACAGCCUAAUCGAGCUCUCCUGUCACCAAAUCAAACCACUGUGUCAAAAUCAAGCCCCGUCAUCUACCGAAUCAACCAGCGGUUCGAAGCAAGGCGAGCAGAGAAAGGGAAGCAAGCGCCCCGGUGAAGUUUGCCUUAUUGUGCUUCUGGGCCUCCAG
rnacentral:lncRNA from 1 species